rnacentral:rRNA from 1 species
UACGUAGGGUGCAAGCGUUAAUCGGAAUUACUGGGCGUAAAGCGUGCGCAGGCGGUUGUACAAGCCAGAGGUGAAAUCCCCGGGCUCAACCUGGGAACUGCCUUUGUGACUGUACGGCUAGAGUGUGUCAGAGGGGGGUAGAAUUCCACGUGUAGCAGUGAAAUGCGUAGAGAUGUGGAGGAAUACCGAUGGCGAAGGCAGCCCCCUGGGAUAACACUGACGCUCAUGCACGAAAGCGUGGGGAGCGAACAGG